UGUGUGUGUGUGUGUGUGUGUGUGUGUGUGCUGGCUGACCUAGGUUCUUCAGAAGUAGAGUAUUGAAUACACUAAUUCACCAGAGCACACAAAACAAGUCAUCCUGUAGGUCCUUCUGCAUGGAAAUGAAUGAUAUUUAACCUGGAAAAAUCUUUUAAGUAACUGAAGGAUAUUAAUCAGCCAAAUCAGCACCUUUCUUUAGAAAAAGGAAAGGAAGGAAAAAGAAUGAGAAAAGUUUAGAAAAUGGCACAAAAGACCACAGAGAAUCAAUGGAAGAGUUAGGAAUCAGGCUUUAGCAGUUCAAACAUUUCCUCCUUUAGAAGGACAUUCAGGUUGUGCUUUAUUUUUCCUCUCUCUGUUCUGCUUACUAAUUAAUCCACAGAGAACAGUGAGUCUUCUACCCUCUCAUUACUGGAAGCUUUGGACAGACACUGAAUUCUAAUCCAUCUCUAAAUGCAUGAAAAGGAGGAGCUCAGAAAGUGAGGGUUCAAGUUAAAAAGAGCCAACUCUCACUACCUAACAGAGAGGGGUUGACAGAGACAGAGAUAGAGAGACAGAGACAGAAACAGAAAUAAGGUUAAAGAGAUCUUUUAAAGUUUAUCUCAAAAUUUGUAUAACAUUAGAUCAUUUACUGUCUGAUUGCUU